UCACGUAAUGGCCUACCUCCUCUUUCCCAAAACAGGAGCCACAUACCAACCUCUCAGCAGGGUGGGUUGGGGCCACAAGACUUAGGGCCUACCUCUCCUCGGUGGCCAAUGACAUUUAAAGAAAACAGUUGACUGCGUCUGUGAAGAUGUCAUAACGUGGAGCUUCCCUGGGAGAAAAUAAUUUGGGAAGGGAGGGAGACAUUACUGAUAUCUUUAAAACACAGAGUGUUCAAAAUGAGAGAACCACGUGCUUCUCUCCAUACCACUGGGGUGGUUUUGGUGCCCGUUUUUGGUGUGCAUUGUGGGUCUUUGUGGGGCCUGUGGUAACAACUCAUGAUUCAUCAACUACAAGUUACCAUCACAAUUUCCAAGUCAUUGGGAAGUAUUUCAUCCCCCAGAGCGGCACUUUUCUCCAUCAGCAAGAGAAUCAAAAGGAAGUGGGAACAUCUGGCUCGAUAUGAAAGCCUGAGAGUGCCCCGACAUACACAGGCUCCGGAGAAGUCGGCCCCUUGCAGAUACUGGAAAGCAAAGCUCAGUCUACCUUCGCCAGCCACAGUUUCCAGCAUCGCUUCCAAAAAUCAAUGUCGUAUAUUUUCUGGCGGACCCACUUCUAAGUGAUUGGAUUCUAGCACACUCCAAUCAAGCAUCAGCUUUGGUUCUUAUGACGCAGUCACUAACAUCACACACGACCAAAACAGCAGGGCGCUCUCUCAAGUCUCCUCUUACUGUGCCAUCGUGGGGAACAGUCUCAUAGCAUGAUAUGGAGCUGGAGAGGAGGGGAGAGGAGAACAGAAGGCAAGGUGGGAAAGGACACCUGGCAGAGACAACAUCUGGAUCCUGAACCUGGAGGAGAAAUCCACUUAUAUCUCACUUUAGAUUUGCCAGCUGCUUUUAUUUUUAUUUGGACUUACAGAAAGGUGAGGCUGGGUGUGGUGUCUCAUGCCUGUAAUCCCAGCACUUUGGGAGGCUGAGGCAGGUGGAUCACGAGGUCAGGAGAUGGAGACCAUCCUGGCCUACAUGGUGAAACCCCGUCUCUACUAAAACACAAAAAAAUUAGCUGGGAGUGGUGGUGUGCGCCUGUAGUCCCAGCUACUCAGGAGGCUGAGGCAGGGGAAUCACUUGAACCGGGAGGCAGAGAUUGCAGUGACCUAAGAUCACGCCACCACACUCCAGCCUGAGCAACAGUGAGACUCCGUCUCAAAAAAAAAAAAAAAAAAAAAGGAAGGAAGGAAGAAAGAAAGAAAGAAAGAAAGAAGGAAAGAAAGAAAGAAAAAGAAAGGUAAGAGGCAAGAGGAUUGGGGAAGAAUUCUCCAUGUAUAGUGACCAGCCUUGAAAAACAGAAUUAAUACCUGCUGUUGGAGAAAAGGGCAGGCAAACUUAAUGCCCAUCAUAAAAGAUUUGGGUUCUCUGAGCUCAGGGAUCUCCUCCUAUAAUGCAAGUCACUAUGUGAAUAAGUGUCAUCUGGCCUUCUUCACACGCCCUAUGGAAACUGGGGCUCAGGACAGAUAUGAACAACUGCUGAUACUCUGCCUAUUGCUAUUGCUGUUGAGAAGAAAAUACGGGAGUGAACUGUAGCAAUAAACGGUUUGUGGGUAAUUUUAGUAUUUUAAUGUGGCUUCUAAAAUGUGUACUACA